UUACGGUGAUAUCACGUUGAAACACUGGUUCCCGUACGAUCACUGAAGUUAAACAACGUCGAGGCUGGUCAGUACCUAUAUGGGCGACCGUUUGGCAAUGCCAGGGGCUGUAA